rnacentral:miRNA from 1 species
GCCCUCUUUCUGUUGUCCUACU